GUAGGGCGGGGCUUCCUCACUCGCGCGGGGCGGAGCGGGGCGGAGCGGGGCGGAGCGGGGCGGGGCGCUCCCGUCGGCGCUGCCCGAGCCGCCCUACUGCGCAUGGCACGUUGCGUACCUCCCUCCCAGCAACCGGCCU
rnacentral:miRNA from 1 species